rnacentral:rRNA from 1 species
UAAUACGUAGGGGGCAAGCGUUGUCCGGAAUUACUGGGCGUAAAGCGCACGCAGGCUGAAUUAUAAGUCGGUAGUCAAAGGCGGAGGCUCAACUUCCGUUUAUCUAUCGAAACUGUAAAUCUAGAGUAUGUGAGAGGGAAGUGGAAUUCCCCGGUGUAGCGGUGAAAUGCGUAGAUAUCGGGAGGAACACCAGUGGCGAAGGCGGCUUCCUGGCACAAUACUGACGCUCAUGUGCGAAAGCUAGGGUAGCGAACGGGAUUAGAUACCCCGGUAGUCCUAGCCGUAAACGAUGGAUACUAGGUGUGGGUGUCGCAGGGCAUCCGUGCCGCAGCUAACGCGUUAAGUAUCCCGCCUGGGGACUACGGUCGCAAGACUGAAACUCAAAGGAAUUGACGGGGGCCCGCACAAGCGGUGGAGCACGUGGUUUAAUUCGAUGCAAACCGAAGAACCUUACCUGGGUUUGACAUGCAGGUGGUAGCGAAGAGAGAUCUGAGCGACUCUGCAGU